rnacentral:rRNA from 1 species
GACGAACGCUGGCGGCGUGCUUAACACAUGCAAGUUGAACGAGAAUUUUUCGAGUGAUUUCUUCGGAAUGAUCAUGAAAAAGGAAAGUAGCGAACGGGUGAGUAACACGUGAGAAACCUGCCUUUCACAAAGGGAUAGCCUCGGGAAACCGGGAUUAAUACCUUAUGAAACCAAACACUCGCAUGAGAGAUUGGUUAAAGAUUUAUCGGUGUUAGAUGGUCUCGCGUCUGAUUAGCUAGUUGGUGGGAUAAAAGCCUACCAAGGCAACGAUCAGUAGCCGGAGUGAGAGGUUGAACGGCCACACUGGAACUGAGACACGGUCCAGACUCCUACGGGAGGCAGCAGUGGGGAAUUUUGCACAAUGGAGGAAACUCUGAUGCAGCGACGCCGCGUGAGUGAUGAAGGUCUUCGGAUUGUAAAACUCUGUCCUUAGUGAAGAUAAUGACAGUAACUAAGAAGCAAGCCCUGGCUAAAUACGUG